rnacentral:rRNA from 1 species
AUUGAACGCUGGCGGCAGGCUUAACACAUGCAAGUCGAGCGGGGGAAGGUAGCUUGCUACCGGACCUAGCGGCGGACGGGUGAGUAAUGCUUAGGAAUCUGCCUAUUAGUGGGGGACAACAUCUCGAAAGGGAUGCUAAUACCGCAUACGUCCUACGGGAGAAAGCAGGGGAUCUUCGGACCUUGCGCUAAUAGAUGAUCCUACGUCGGAUUAGCUAGUUGGUGGGGUAAAGGCCUACCAAGGCGACGAUCUGUAGCGGGUCUGAGAGGAUGAUCCGCCACACUGGGACUGGGACACGGCCCAGACUCCUACGGGAGGCAGCAGUGGGGAAUAUUGGACAAUGGGGGGAACCCUGAUCCAGCCAUGCCGCGUGUGUGAAGAAGGCCUUAUGGUUGUAAAGCACUUUAAGCGAGGAGGAGGCUACUCUAGUUAAUACCUAGGGAUAGUGGACGUUACUCGCAGAAUAAGCACCGGCUAACUCUGUGCCAGCAGCCGCCGUAA